rnacentral:lncRNA from 1 species
GACGAACCCUUACUCUCCAAUUCCUUAUUUGUAUCCCCUUUACGAGUCCCCAUCCUGGCUGCUGCACGUUUGCGAGGGGAUACAAGCGCAACUGCAUUCCUCAUCUUUGUGCUUCCUGCAACAAUGACUGAUGACUUGAACAACCUUUUACGAGUCCCCUGCUUCUGAGCCUGCUCCAUAGUGUCCUUAUUCUUCUCUUCUGCACCAUUAGUCUGCUCUCCUGCCUCCUGAAGUUGAUCAUCCUCCUCAUAGCCCGCCAUCAUCUCCUUCAAUUCCUCCUCAGAAACUGCCGGGAGAGCAUCUAUCGUCUGCUCAUCUAAGCCAUGCUCCAAAAGCGCUGCUUGAAACUCAUCCAUUU